rfam:Pseudomonas sp. Chol1 Contig142, whole genome shotgun sequence.
CAGUCCGGUAGUUGAAAUAAUAAUGAACUCUAGAAGGGAUCCUGAGUACGAUCGGACACGAGAAAUACCGGUCGGAAUCUGCGAGGACCAUCUCGCAAGGCUAAAUACUACCUAGUGACCGAUAGUGAACCAGUACCGUGAGGGAAAGGCGAAAGAACCCCGGAAGGGGAGUGAAAGAGAACCUGAAACCGUGUGCUUACAAGUAGUCAGAGCCCGUUAAAGGGUGAUGGCGUGCCUUUUGUAGAAUGAACCGGCGAGUUACGAUAUCGUGCGAGGUUAAGAUGAAGAAUCGGAGCCGCAGCGAAAGCGAGUCUUAAUAGGGCGUAUAGUACGAUGUCGUAGACCCGAAACCGUGUGAGCUAGCCAUGUGCAGGAUGAAGGUUGGGUAACACCAACUGGAGGUCCGAACCAGGGUACGUUGAAAAGUGCUUGGAUGACGUGUGGCUAGAGGUGAAAUUCCAAUCGAACACGGAUAUAGCUGGUUCUCCCCGAAAUAGCUUUAGGGCUAGCCUCGUGAAAGAGUGUACCGGAGGUAGAGCACUGAAUGUGUGAUGGUCCCACCUCGGGAUACUGAGCAUAAUCAAACUCCGAAUGCCGGUAAUACAAACACGGGAGUCAGACUAUGGGUGAUAAGGUCCAUGGUCGAGAGGGAAAGAGCCCAGACCGCCAGCUAAGGUCCCUAAAUGUACGUUAAGUGGGAAAGGAUGUGGAGAUGCACAGACAACUAGGAGGUUGGCUUAGAAGCAGCCAUCCUUUAAAGAGUGCGUAAUAGCUCACUAGUCGAGUGACUCUGCGCCGAAAAUGUACC